UACAGAGGGGGCAAGCGUUGUUCGGAUUCAUUGGGCGUAAAGGGUGCGUAGGCGGCGCGGUAAGUUGGGUGUGAAAUCUUGGAGCUUAACUCCGAAACUGCAUUCGAUACUGCCGUGCUUGAGGACUGGAGAGGAGACUGGAAUUUACGGUGUAGCGGUGAAAUGCGUAGAUAUCGUAAGGAAGACCAGUGGCGAAGGCGGGUCUCUGGACAGUUCCUGACGCUGAGGCACGAAGGCCAGGGGAGCAAACGGG
rnacentral:rRNA from 1 species